UACGUAGGGGGCAAGCGUUGUCCGGAAUUAUUGGGCGUAAAGGGCUCGCAGGCGGUCUUCUAAGUCUGAUGUGAAAUCUCGUGGCUUAACCACGAGCGGUCAUUGGAAACUGGGGGACUUGAGUACAGAAGAGGAGAGUGGAAUUCCACGUGUAGCGGUGAAAUGCGUAGAUAUGUGGAGGAACACCAGUGGCGAAGGCGACUCUCUGGUCUGUAACUGACGCUGAGGUGCGAAAGCGUGGGGAGCAAACAGG
rnacentral:rRNA from 1 species